GUAGGGUGCAAGCGUUAAUCGGAAUUACUGGGCGUAAAGCGUGCGCAGGCGGUUAUGCAAGACAGAUGUGAAAUCCCCGGGCUUAACCUGGGAACUGCAUUUGUGACUGCAUAGCUGGAGUACGGUAGAGGGGGAUGGAAUUCCGCGUGUAGCAGUGAAAUGCGUAGAUAUGCGGAGGAACACCGAUGGCGAAGGCAGUCCCCUGGACCUGUACUGACGCUCAUGCACGAAAGCGUGGGGAGCAAACAGGAUUAGAUACCCUGGUAGUCCACGCCCUAAACGAUGUCAACUGGUUGUUGGGAAGGUUUCUUCUCAGUAACGUAGCUAACGCGUGAAGUUGACCGCCUGGGGAGUACGGCCGCAAGGUUG
rnacentral:rRNA from 1 species